rnacentral:rRNA from 1 species
GCCAGCGCUUAAUUGCGCGGCGAAAAAACCUUACACACAGUGUUUUUUGUUAUUACAAGAACUUUUGCUUUGGUCUGGACUAGAAAUAGUUUGGGCCAGAGGUUUACUGAACUAAACUUCAAUAUUUAUAUUGAAUUGUUAUUUAUUUAAUUGUCAAUUUGUUGAUUAAAUUCAAAAAAUCUUCAAAACUUUCAACAACGGAUCUCUUGGUUCUCGCAUCGAUGAAGAACGCAGCGAAAUGCGAUAAGUAAUAUGAAUUGCAGAUUUUCGUGAAUCAUCGAAUCUUUGAACGCACAUUGCGCCCUCUGGUAUUCCAGAGGGCAUGCCUGUUUGAGCGUCAUUUCUCUCUCAAACCUUCGGGUUUGGUAUUGAGUGAUACUCUUAGUCGAACUAGGCGUUUGCUUGAAAUGUAUUGGCAUGAGUGGUACUGGAUAGUGCUAUAUGACUUUCAAUGUAUUAGGUUUAUCCAACUCGUUGAAUAGUUUAAUGGUAUAUUUCUCGGUAUUCUAGGCUCGGCCUUACAAUAUAACAAACAAGUUUGACCUCAAAUCAGGUAGGACUACCCGCUGAACUUAAGCAUAUCAAUAAGCCGAAGGA